rnacentral:rRNA from 1 species
AUUGAACGCUGGCGGCAUGCUUUACACAUGCAAGUCGAACGGUAACAGGGAGCUUGCUCCGCUGACGAGUGGCGAACGGGUGAGUAAUGCAUCGGAACGUACCCAGUCGUGGGGGAUAACGUAGCGAAAGUUACGCUAAUACCGCAUACGUCCUGAGGGAGAAAGCGGGGGACCGUAAGGCCUCGCGCGAUUGGAGCGGCCGAUGUCGGAUUAGCUAGUUGGUAGGGUAAAGGCCUACCAAGGCGACGAUCCGUAGCGGGUCUGAGAGGAUGAUCCGCCACACUGGGACUGAGACACGGCCCAGACUCCUACGGGAGGCAGCAGUGGGGAAUUUUGGACAAUGGGCGAAAGCCUGAUCCAGCCAUGCCGCGUGAGUGAAGAAGGCCUUCGGGUUGUAAAGCUCUUUCGGCUGGGAAGAAAUCGCAUCUCCUAAUACGGGGUGUGGAUGACGGUACCAGCAUGAGAAGCACCGGCUAACUACGUG